rnacentral:rRNA from 1 species
UACGGAGGAUGCGAGCGUUAUCCGGAUUUAUUGGGUUUAAAGGGUGCGUAGGCGGAGUGCCAAGUCAGCGGUAAAAAUUCGGGGCUCAACCCCGUCGUGCCGUUGAGACUGGCGCCCUUGAGUGGGCGAGAAGUAUGCGGAAUGCGUGGUGUAGCGGUGAAAUGCAUAGAUAUCACGCAGAACCCCGAUUGCGAAGGCAGCAUACCGGCGCCCGACUGACGCUGAAGCACGAAAGCGUGGGUAUCGAACAGG